rnacentral:rRNA from 1 species
AUUGAACGCUGGCGGCAGGCCUAACACAUGCAAGUCGAGCGGAUGAAGGGAGCUUGCUCCUGGAUUCAGCGGCGGACGGGUGAGUAAUGCCUAGGAAUCUGCCUGGUAGUGGGGGAUAACGUCCGGAAACGGGCGCUAAUACCGCAUACGUCCUGAGGGAGAAAGUGGGGGAUCUUCGGACCUCACGCUAUCAGAUGAGCCUAGGUCGGAUUAGCUAGUUGGUGGGGUAAAGGCCUACCAAGGCGACGAUCCGUAACUGGUCUGAGAGGAUGAUCAGUCACACUGGAACUGAGACACGGUCCGGACUCCUACGGGAGGCAGCAGUGGGGAAUAUUGGACAAUGGGCGAAAGCCUGAUCCAGCCAUGCCGCGUGUGUGAAGAAGGUCUUCGGAUUGUAAAGCACUUUAAGUUGGGAGGAAGGGCAGUAAGUUAAUACCUUGCUGUUUUGACGGUACCAACAGAAUAAGCACCGGCUAACUUCGUG